rnacentral:lncRNA from 13 species
GUUCCUACAACUAUAUCUCCAGCUACCACUACACCUGAUGUACUUACUACAACAGUCACAACUGCAGCUCCUGUUACAACAACUGUAGCUUCUACGUCAAGCAUAGCAGCUGCCUCUACGAUAACCACUGCUGCUAUUACUACAAAAACUGCUGCUCCAAUAACCACUACAACUCCCGAAACUAAUACGACAGAACCUACUCCUACGACUGCUUCGACUGCAGAACCUAUCACGACNNNNNNNNNNUACAGCUCCAGAACCUAUUACGACAACCACUGCAGCUCCUGCUAAAACAACUACAAUUUCAGCUCCUACUACAACAACAGCACCUCCAACAACUGUAGCUCCCACGAUAACUGCAGCUCCUACAACCGCUUUAGCAUCUUCUUCAACCACAGCUCCUGAUACAACAACUGUAACUUCUACGUCAACAGCAGCAGCUUCCUCUACGACAACCACAGCAGCUCUAACUACAACAAUUGCUGCUCCAACGACCACUACAACUCUAGAACCUAUUACGACAACCACAACAACUGCACCUACUACAACACCUGCAUCUCCUACAACUGUAGCUCCAGCUACCACUACACCUGAUGUACUUAUUACAACAUUCACAACUACAGCUCCUGCUACAACAACGGUAGCUUCUACGUCAAGAAUAGCAGCUGCCUCUACGAUAACCACUGCUGCUCUUACUACAACAACUGCUGCUCCAAUAACCACUACAUCUCCAGAAACUAAUACGACAGAACCUACUCCUACGACUGCUACAACUGCAGAACCUACCAUGACAGCCACUUUAGCUUCUACUACAAACAUUGCUGUUCCUGUUCCAUCUGCCUCUACGAUAACCACUGCAGUUCUAACUAAAACAACGACUGCACCUUCGACCACUACAUCUCCAGAACCUGCUCUGACAGAACCUACUCCUACUAAUGCUACAACUGUAGUACCUACCAAGACAGCCACUGCAGCUCUAACUAAAACAAAUGCUGCUCCAACGACCACUACAAGUCCUGAACCUAUUAUAACAACCGCUGCAGCUCCUACCACACCAGCUGCUAUUCUUAUGACCACCACGACUGCAGCACCAUCUUCAACAACUACAACUUUAGCUCCUACGACAACCACUUCAACAGCACCUACUACAACAACUGCAGUUCUUACAACUGUAUCUCCAGCUACCACUACACCUGAUGUACUUACUACAACAUCCACAACUACAGCUCCUGCUACAACAACUGUAGCUUCUACGUCAAGCAUAGCAGCUGCCUCUACGAUAACCACUGCUGCUCUUACUACAACAACUGCUGCUCCAAUAACCACUACAUCUCCAGACACUAAUACGACAGAACCUACUCCUACGACUGCUACAGCUGCAGAACCUACCACGACAGCCACUUUAGCUUCUACUACAAACCCUGCUGUUCUUAUGGCCACAACUACUGCAGCACCUUCUACAUCAACUACAGCUUUAGAUCCUACGACAACCACUUCAACAGCACCUACUACAACACAUGCAGUUCCUACAACUGUAGCUCCUACUACCACUAUACCUGCUGUUCUUACUACAACAAUCACAUCUCCAGCUCCUGCUACCACAACUGUAGCUUCUAUUUCAACUACAGCAGCUGUCUCUACAAUAACCACUGCAGCUCUAGCUAAAACAACGGCUGCUCCUUCGACCACUACAUCUCCAGAACCUGCUCUGACAGAACCUACUCCUACUAAUGCUACGACUGCAGAACCUACCACGACAGCCACUGCAGCUCUAACUAAAACAACUGCUGCUCAAAUGACCACUACAGCUCCUGAACCUAUUAUGACAACAGCUGCAGCUCCUACUACACCAACUGCUAUUCUUACGACCACCACGACAGCAGCACCAUCUUCAACAACUACAACUUUAGCUCCUACGACAACCACUUCAACAGCAACUACUACAAUACCUGCAGUUCCUACAACUGUAUCUCCAGCUACCACUACACCUGAUGUACUUACUACAACAAUCACAACUACAGCUCCUGCUACAACAACUGUAGCUUCUACGUCAAGCAUAGCAGCUGCCUCUACGAUAACCACUGCUGCUAUUACUACAAAAACUGCUGCUCCAAUAACCACUACAACUCCCAAAACUAAUACGACAGAACCUACUCCUACGACUGCUUCGACUGCAGAACCUAUCACGACAGCCACUUUAGCUUCUACGACAAACUCUGCUGUUCUUACAACCACAACGACUGCAGCACCUUUUACAACAACUACAACUUCAGCUCCGACGACAACCAAAACAAAGGCACCUACUACAACACCUGUAGUUCCUACAACUGUAACUUCAGCGACCACUACACCUGAUAUACUUACAAUAACACUCACAACUGCAGCUCCUGCUACAACAACUGUAGCUUCUACGUCAACCACAGCAUCUGCCCCUACGAUAACCACUGCAACUCUAACUAAAACAACGGCUGCUCCAACGACCACUACAUCUACAGAACCUGCUCUGACAGAACCUACCCCUACUAAUGCUACGAUUGCAGAACCUACCAUCACAGCUACUGCAGCUCUAACUAAAACAACUGCUGCUCCAACGACCACUACAACUCCUGAACCUAUUAUGACAACUGCUGCAGCUCCGACUACGCCAACUGCUAUUCUUACGACCACCACGACUGUAGCACCAUCUUCAACAACUACAACUUUCGCUCCCUCGUCAACCACAACAACUGCACCUACUACAACACCUGCAGCUCCUACAAUUGUAGCUCCAGUUACCACAACACCUGAUGUACUUACUACAACAAUCACAACUACAGCUCCUGCUACAACAACUGUAGCUUCUACGUCAACCACAGCAUCUGCCUCUACGAUAACCACUGCUGCUCUUACUACAACAACUGCUGCUCCAAUAACCACUACAUCUCCAGAAACUAAUACGACAGAACCUACUCCUACGACUGCUACGACUGCAGAACCUACCACGACAGCCACUUUAGCUUCUACUACAAACACUGCUGUUCUUACGACCACAACUACUGCAGCACCUUCUACAACAACUACAACUUUAGCUCCUACGACAACCACUUCAACAGCACCUACUACAAUACCUGCAGUUUCUACAAUUGUAGCUCCAGCUACCACUACACCUGCUGUACUUACUACAACAGUCACAACUGCAGCUCCUGUUACAACAACUGUAGCUUCUACGUCAACCACAGCAUCUGCCUCUACGAUUACCACUGCAGCUCUAACUAAAACAACGGCUGCUCAUUCGACCACUACAUCUCCAGAACCUGCUCUGACAGAACCUACUCCAACUUUAGCUCCUACGACAACCACUUCAACAGCACCUACUACAAUACCUGCAGUUCCUACAAUUGUAGCUCCAGCUACCACUACACCUGCUGUACUUACUACAACAGUCACAACUGCAGCUCCUGUUACAACAACUGUAGCUUCUACGUCAAGCAUAGCAGCUGCCUCUACGAUAACCACUGCUGCUUUUACUACAAAAACUGCUGCUCCAAUAACCACUACAACUCCCGAAACUAAUACGACAGAACCUACUCCUACGACUGCUUCGACUGCAGAACCUAUCACGACAGCCACUUUAGCUUCUACGACAAACUCUGCUGUUCUUACGACCGCAACGACUGCAGCACCUUCUACAAGAACUACAACUUCAGCUCCGACAACAACCACAACAAAAGCACCUACUACAACACCGGCAGUUCCUACAACUGUAACUUCAGCGACCACUACACCUGCUGUUCUUACUACAACAAUCACAUCUGCAGCUCCUGCUACAACAACUGUAGCUUUUAUUUCAACUACAGCAGCUGCCUCUACAAUAACCACUGCAGCUCUAACUAAAACAACUGCUGCUCCAACGACCACUACAGCUCCUGAACCUAUUGUGACAACAGAUGCAGCUCCGACUACACCAACUGCUAUUCUUACGACCACCACGACUGCAGCACCAUCUUCAACAACUACAACUUUAGCUCCUACGACAACCACUUCAACAGCACCUACUACAAUACCUGCAGUUCCUACAAUUGUAGCUCCAGCUACCACUACACCUGCUGUACUUACUACAACAGUCACAACUGCAGCUCCUGUUACAACAACUGUAGCUUCUACGUCAACCACAGCAUCUGCCUCUACGAUUACCACUGCAGCUCUAACUAAAACAACGGCUGCUCAUUCGACCACUACAUCUCCAGAACCUGCUCUGACAGAACCUACUCCUACUAAUGCUACGACUGCAGAACCUACCACGACAGCCAGUGCAGCUCUAACUAAAACAACUGCUGCUCCAAUGACCACUACAACUUCUGAACCUAUAACGACAACUGCUGCAGCUCCGACUACACCAACUGCUAUUCUUACAACCACCAGGACUGCAGCACCAUCUUCAACAACUACAACUUUAGCUCCUACGACAACCACUUCAACAGCACCUACUACAAUACCUGCAGUUCCUACAAUUGUAGCUCCAGCUACCACUACACCUGCUGUACUUACUACAACAGUCACAACUGCAGCUCCUGUUACAACAACUGUAGCUUCUACGUCAACCACAGCAUCUGCCUCUACGAUUACCACUGCAGCUCUAACUAAAACAACGGCUGCUCAUUCGACCACUACAUCUCCAGAACCUGCUCUGACAGAACCUACUCCUACUAAUGCUACGACUGCAGAACCUACCACGACAGCCAGUGCAGCUCUAACUAAAACAACUGCUGCUCCAACGACCACUACAACUUCUGAACCUAUAACGACAACUGCUGCAGCUCCGACUACACCAACUGCUAUUCUUACAACCACCACGACUGCAGCACCAUCUUCAACAACUACAACUUUAGCUCCUACGACAACCACUUCAACAGCACCUACUACAACACCUGCAGUUCCUACAACUAUAUCUCCAGCUACCACUACACCUGAUGUACUUACUACAACAGUCACAACUGCAGCUCCUGUUACAACAACUGUAGCUUCUACGUCAAGCAUAGCAGCUGCCUCUACGAUAACCACUGCUGCUAUUACUACAAAAACUGCUGCUCCAAUAACCACUACAACUCCCGAAACUAAUACGACAGAACCUACUCCUACGACUGCUUCGACUGCAGAACCUAUCACGACAGCCACUUUAGCUUCUACGACAAACUCUGCUGUUCUUACGACCGCAACGACUGCAGCACCUUCUACAACAACUACAACUUCAGCUCCGACAACAACCACAACAAAAGCACCUACUACAACACCGGCAGUUCCUACAACUGUAACUUCAGCGACCACUACACCUGAUAUACUUACAAUAACAAUCACAACUGCAGCUCCUGCUACAACAACUGUAGCUUCUACGUCAACCACAGCAUCUGCCUCUACGAUUACCACUGCAACUCUAACUAAAACAACGGCUGCUCCAACGACCACUACAUCUCCAGAACCUGCUCUGACAGAACCUACUCCUACUAAUGCUACGAUUGCAGAACCUACCACGACAGCCAGUGCAGCUCUAACUAAAACAACUGCUGCUCCAACGACCACUACAACUUCUGAACCUAUAACGACAACUGCUGCAGCUCCGACUACACCAACUGCUAUUCUUACAACCACCACGACUGCAGCACCAUCUUCAACAACUACAACUUUAGCUCCUACGACAACCACUUCAACAGCACCUACUACAACACCUGCAGUUCCUACAACUAUAUCUCCAGCUACCACUACACCUGAUGUACUUACUACAACAGUCACAACUGCAGCUCCUGUUACAACAACUGUAGCUUCUACGUCAAGCAUAGCAGCUGCCUCUACGAUAACCACUGCUGCUAUUACUACAAAAACUGCUGCUCCAAUAACCACUACAACUCCCGAAACUAAUACGACAGAACCUACUCCUACGACUGCUUCGACUGCAGAACCUAUCACGACAGCCACUUUAGCUUCUACGACAAACUCUGCUGUUCUUACGACCGCAAAGACUGCAGCACCUUCUACAACAACUACAACUUCAGCUCCGACAACAACCACAACAAAAGCACCUACUACAACACCGGCAGUUCCUACAACUGUAACUUCAGCGACCACUACACCUGAUAUACUUACAAUAACAAUCACAACUGCAGCUCCUGCUACAACAACUGUAGCUUCUGCGUCAACCACAGCAUCUGCCCCUACGAUAAGCACUGCAACUCUAACUAAAACAACGGCUGCUCCAACGACCACUACAUCUCCAGAACCUGCUCUGACAGAACCUACUCCUACUAAUGCUACGACUGCAGAACCUACCACGACAGCCAGUGCAGCUCUAACUAAAACAACUGCUGCUCCAAAGACCACUACAACUCCUGAACCUAUUAUGACAACUGCUGCAGCUCCGAUUACACCAACUGCUAUUCUUACGACCACCACGACUGUAGCACCAUCUUCAACAACUACCACUUUAGCUCCUACGUCAACCACAACAACUGCACCUACUACAACAACUACAACUUUAGAUCCUACGACAACCACUUCAACAGCACCUACUACAACACAUGCAGUUCCUACAACUGUAGCUCCUACUAUCACUACACCUGCUGUUCUUACUACAACAAUCACAUCUGCAGCUCCUGCUACAACAACUGUAGCUUAUAUUUCAACUACAGCAGCUGCCUCUACAAUAACCACUGCAGCUCUAACUAAAACAACUGCUGCUCCAGCGACCACUACAGCUCCUGAACCUAUUGUGACAACAGAUGCAGCUCCGACUACACCAACUGCUAUUCUUACGACCACCACGACUGCAGCACCAAUUUCAACAACUACAACUUUAGCUCCUACGACAACCACUUCAACAGCACCUACUACAAUACCUGCAGUUCCUACAAUUGUAGCUCCAGCUACCACUACACCUGCUGUACUUACUACAACAGUCACAACUGCAGUUCCUGUUACAACAACUGUAGCUUCUACGUCAACCACAGCAUCUGCCUCUACGAUUACCACUGCAGCUCUAACUAAAACAAUGGCUGCUCAUUCGACCACUACAUCUCCAGAACCUGCUCUGACAGAACCUACUCCUACUAAUGCUACGACUGCAGAACCUACCACGACAGCCAGUGCAGCUCUAACUAAAACAACUGCUGCUCCAACGACCACUACAACUUCUGAACCUAUAACGACAACUGCUGCAGCUCCGACUACUCCAACUGCUAUUCUUACAACCACCACGACUGCAGCACCAUCUUCAACAACUACAACUUUAGCUCCUACGACAACCACUUCAACAGCACCUACUACAAUACCUGCAGUUCCUACAAUUGUAGCUCCAGCUACCACUACACCUGCUGUACUUACUACAACAGUCACAACUGCAGCUCCUGUUACAACAACUGUAGCUUCUACGUCAACCACAGCAUCUGCCUCUACGAUUACCAUUGCAGCUCUAACUAAAACAACGGCUGCUCAUUCGACCACUACAUCUCCAGAACCUGCUCUGACAGAACCUACUCCUACUAAUGCUACGACUGCAGAACCUACCACGACAGCCAGUGCAGCUCUAACUAAAACAACUGCUGCUCCAACGACCACUACAACUUCUGAACCUAUAACGACAACUGCUGCAGCUCCGACUACACCAACUGCUAUUCUUACAACCACCACGACUGCAGCACCAUCUUCAACAACUACAACUUUAGCUCCUACGACAACCACUUCAACAGCACCUACUACAACACCGGCAGUUCCUACAACUGUAACUUCAGCGACCACUACACCUGAUAUACUUACAAUAACAAUCACAACUGCAGCUCCUGCUACAACAACUGUAGCUUCUACGUCAACCACAGCAUCUGCCCCUACGAUAAGCACUGCAACUCUAACUAAAACAACGGCUGCUCCAAUGACCACUACAUCUCCAAAACCUGCUCUGACAGAACCUACUCCUACUAAUGCUACGAUUGCAGAACCUACCAUGACAGCCACUGCAGCACUAACUAAAACAACUGCUGCUCCAACGACCACUACAACUCCUGAACCUAUUAUGACAACUGCUGCAGCUCCGACUACGCCAACUGCUAUUCUUACGACCACCACGACUGUAGCACCAUCUUCAACAACUACAACUUUAGCUCCCUCGUCAACCACAACAACUGCACCUACUACAUCACCUGCAGCUCCUACAAUUGUAGCUCCAGUUACCACAACACCUGAUGUACUUACUACAACAAUCACAACUACAGCUCCUGCUACAACAACUGUAGCUUCUACGUCAAGCAUAGCAGCUGCCUCUACGAUAACCACUGCUGCUAUUACUACAAAAACUGCUGCUCCAAUAACCACUACAACUCCCGAAACUAAUACGACAGAACCUACUGCUACGACUGCUUCGACUGCAGAACCUAUCACGACAGCCACUUUAGCUUCUACGACAAAUUCUACGACAGCCACUGCAGCUCUAACUAAAACAACUGCUGCUCCAACGACCACUACAACUCCUGAACCUAUUAUGACAACUGCUGCAGCUCCGAUUACACCAACUGCUAUUCUUACGACCACCACGACUGUAGCACCAUCUUCAACAACUACAACUUUAGCUCCCUCGUCAACCACAACAACUGCACCUACUACAGCACCUGCAGCUCCUACAAUUGUAGCUCCAGUUACCACAUCACCUGCUGUACUUACUACAACAAUCACAACUACAUCUCCUGCUACAACAACUGUAGCUUCUACAUCAACCACAGCAUCUGCCUCUACGAUAACCACUGCAACUCUAACUAAAACAACGUCUGCUCCAACGACCACUACAUCUCCAGAACCUGCUCUGACAGAACCUACUCCUACUAAUGCUACGAUUGCAGAACCUACCACGACAGCCAUGUUAGCUUCUACAACAAACUCUGUUGUUCUUACGACCGCAAUGACUGCAGCACCUUCUGAACCUGUUAUAACAACCGGUGCAGCUCCUACUACACCAGCUGCUAUUCUUACGACCAACACGACUGUAGCACCAUCUUCAACAACUACAACUUCAGCUCCUAUAACAACCACGUCAACAGCACCUACUACAUCACCUGCAGUUCCUGCAACUGCUGCUCCUAUAACCCUUUCAACUCCAGAACCUAUUGUAACAGAACCUACUUCUACUACUGCCACGACUGCAGAACCUACGACGACAUCCACUGCAGCUCCUACUACAACAUCUGCUGUUCUUUCGACCUCAACGACUGCAGCACCUUCUACAACAACUACAACAUCAGCUCCUACGACAACCACAACAACAGCACCUACUACAAAACCUGCAGUUUCUACAACUGUAGCUCCUACUACCACUACAACUGCUGUACUUACUACAACAAUCACAACUGUAGCUCCUGCUGCAACAACUGUAGCUUCUAUGUCAACCACAGCAGCUGCCUCUACGAUAACCACUGCUGCUAUUACUACAAAAACUGCUGCUCCAAUAACCACUACAACUGUAGCUCCUACUACCACUACAACUGCUGUACUUACUACAACAAUCACAACUGUAGCUCCUGUUACAACAACUGUAGCUUCUACGUCAACCACAGCAUCUGCCUCUACGAUAACCACUGCAUCUCUAACUAAAACAACUCCUGCCCCAACAACCACUACAUCUCCAGAACCUACUCCGACAGAACCUACGACCACUACAACUCUAGAACCUAUUAAGACAACCACUGCAUCUGUGACAGAACCUACUUCUACUACUGCUACGACUGCAGAACCUACCACGACAGCCACUGCAGCUCCAACUACAACAUCUGCUGUUCUUACGACCACAACGCCUGCAGCACCUUCUACAACUACUACAACUCCUACUCUUAUGACAACCACAACAACAGCACCUACUACAACACCUGCAGUUCCUACAACUUUAGCCCCCACGACCUCUACACCUGCUCUACUUACUACAACAAUCACAACUACAGCUCUUGCUAAGUCAACUGUAGCUUCUACGUCAACCACAGCAGCUGCCUCUACGACAACCACUUCAGUUCUAACUACAACAAGUGCUGCUACUACGAUUACUACAACUCCAGAGUCUACAACCACAGAACCCACUCAUAUGACUCCUAUAACUGCAGAUAUUUCCAGAACAACAACUGCAGCUGCUACUACAACAACUACAACGUCAUUGCAAACAACAACCACAACAACACCACCUACUACAACACCUGCAGUUCCUACAACUGUAGCUCCUACGACCACAACACCUGCUGUACCUACUAUAAUAAUUAUAACUACAUCUCCCGCUACAACAACUGUAGCUUCUAUGUCAACCACAGCAGCUGCCUCUACGAUAACCACUGCAGCUCUAACUAAAUCAUCUGCUGCUCCAACGACCACUACAACUUCUGAACCUGUUAUAACAACCGGUGCAGCUCCUACUACACCAGCUGCUAUUCUUAUGACCAACACGACUGUAGCACCAUCUUCAACAACUACAACUUUAGCUCCUAUAACAACCACGUCAACAGCACUUACUACAUCACCUGCAGUUCCUGCAACUGCUGCUCGUACAACCCCUUCAACUCCAGAACCUAUUAUAGGAGAACCUACUUCUACUACUGCUACGACUGCAGAACCUACCACGACAGCCACUGCAGCUCCUACUACAACAUCUGCUGUUCUUACGACCACAAUGCCUGCAGCACCUUCUACAACUACUACAACUCCUACUCUUAUGACAACCACAACAACAGCACCUACUACAACACCUGCAGUUCCUAUAACUUUAGCCCCCACGACCUCUACACCUGCUCUACUUACUACAACAAUCACAACUACAGCUCCUGCUAAGUCAACUGUAGCUUCUACGUCAACCACAGCAGCUGCCUCUACGACAACCACUUCAGCUCUAACUACAACAAGUGCUGCUACUACGAUUACUGCAACUCCAGAUUCUACAACCACAGAACCCACUCAUAUGACUCCUAUAACUGCAGAUAUUUCCAGAACAACAACUGCAGCUGCUACUACAACAACUACAACUUCAUUGCAAACAACAACCACAACAACAGCACCUACUACAACACCUGCAGUUCCUACAACUGUAGCUCCUACGACCACAACACCUGCAGUACCUACUAUAACAAUUAUAACUGCAGCUCCUGCUACAACAACUGUAGCUUCUCUGUCAACCACAGCAGCUGCCCCUUUGACAACCACUGCAGCUCCUUUGACAACCACUGCAGCUCUUACGAAAACAACUGUAACUCAUACGACAACAGCUGUUGGUCCUUUGACCACCACAACUGUAGAACCUAUUUUAACAUCUACAUCUGAAGCUACAACAACAACCACAAUUACAUCAGCUAGUACAGCACCUGCAGUUCCUGCAGCAAAUGCUGCUUCUAUGACAACUGCAACUGCAAUUGUACUUCCUACCUCGACAACCAGAACUGCAACUUAUAACUCAACUUCUAUGCCUUCAGUGACAUCAACAACUAGAUUCGGCACAGUGGGAGUUUUUGUUCAACUGAUAUUCAAGGUCAAAACACCAGUCCCCACUGAGGAUGAUGUACUUGGUGCCGUCAAGAAGCAAUUGUCUCCUCAAUUCACGACCACUCAAACCACCUUCCAGAAUGCAACUUAUAUCAAACUUACAGAUACUUCAUUUGCCAUCUACCUUGGUUUCAAAAUAACCAAUGUAACCCAGGAGUCUCUAAGUAAUAGACUCACACUCACCAAUGAGACCCAAACCGAGAUACAGGAUUCAAUUAACAGACUACUCCAUAAGGUUCUCAGUGAACCAGACGGCAAACAGUUUCAAUUUCCCAACGCCAAAUUCAUUGCUGAUGGCACUGAGAUCACGGCAAACGUGACGUAUGUUUACAAAGAGGAAGAUGUCAACCACCCUAGUGGUUUUCUACAGGAAGUCUUAAAAGUCUCAGGUCUCCUGACCACCACUGUUGCCCCAACAACAACUACCAGCACCACACCACUUCCUACCCUGUUGACUUCAGUGACAUCAACAACUAGAUUCGGCACAGUGGGAGUUUUUGUUCAACUGAUAUUCAAGGUCAAAACACCAGUCCCCACUGAGGAUGAUGUACUUGGUGCCGUCAAGAAGCAAUUGUCUCCUCAAUUCACGACCACUCAAACCACCUUCCAGAAUGCAACUUAUAUCAAACUUACAGAUACUUCAUUUGCCAUCAACCUUGGUUUCAAAAUAACCAAUGUAACCCUGGAGUCUCUAAGUCAUAGACUCACAUUCACCAACGAGACCUACAUCAAGAUACAGGAUUCAAUUAACAGUCUACUCCAUAAGGUUCUCAGUGAACCAGAUGGCAAACAGUUUAUAUUUCCCAACGCCAACUUCAUUGCUGAUGGCACUGAGAUCACGGCAAACGUGACGUAUGUAUACAAAGAGGAAGAUGUCAACCACCCUAGUGGUUUUCUACAGGAAGUCUUAAAAGUCUCAGGUCUCCUGACCACCACUGUUGCCCCAACUACAACUACAAGCACCACACCACUUCCUACCCUUUUACUGACCACUCCUUUCCAUGCCACAAGUGUUGGAGGUUUUCCUGGCUGGGCUUUGGCCAUUAUCAUUCCUUGUGGCAUCGCUAUCAUUCUGGUACCCCUGUGGAUCCUGCUAUGUUGUAUGCUAUGUGGCUGCUGUGCAGCUGUAAGGAGACGCUGGCACAGACGCAGAUCUUACAAUGUACAGUACACCACCAGAAACGGACUCUUCUGAGGUGACAACACUAACAUCAGUAGGCAACUGUCAUCACAAGAACAGCCAAUUAUCUAUCUAUAUCUGCUAAUCAGGAGACUUCAUUGGGUGCUUGCAUCUAUUUUUUUAACACAAAAAUAAAAUUCAUAAUGGGCUUAAUAAUCCACAGGUGUUUUGCGCAUUGUACAAUUUUUUAUGUUAUACGUCUGGUUGUUAAUCAAAGUUACAGCUGAGCUGAACAGCAUGUAUGUUUAUGUAUUUGUUAGCAAUGUAAUUUAUGUGGUUUCAAGCUGUGCUGUCCACUGACUAAAACGGUUUUCAGUUAUUUAUUGAAUGUAUAAUAAGGUAGAUUAAAAUAUUAAUUUGAGUUUUGUUAUUUCCUCUCUUGAUUAACUAUUAACUAACUUAUUUUCAACUGCAAUACAGUACUUGUUUCUUCAACACACCGUUUGACAAAUGUAAUAAAGACUUUGCAAACCAGUAUUAAGAAAACAUUUUAUGAAUUGGUUUGACUCAUGAGGGGGAUUACAGACAGCACAUCUAAACAUCAAAGGAAGUCAAGAUUGUCCCACCUGGCCCCAAUAUCUAACACAAUUUAAUUUCUACAGUACUCAUUCAAGGGUUUUUCGUUCUUUUUACUAUUUUCUACAUUGUAGAAUAAUAGUGAAGAUAUCAAAACUGUGAAAUAACACAUAUGGAAUCAUGUACUAACCAAAAAAGUGUUCAACAAAUAAAAAUAUAUUUUAGAUUUUAAAUUCUUCAAAGUAGCCACCAUAUGCCUUGAUGGCAGCUUUGCACAUGCUUGGCAUUCUCUCAACCAGCUUCACGUGGAAUGGUUUUCCAACAGUCUUGAAGUAGUUCCCACAUAUGCUGAGCUGCUUUUCCUUCAAUCUGCAGUCCAACUCAUCCUAACCAUCUCUAUUGGGUUGAGGUCGGGUGAUUGUGGAGGUUAGGUCAUCUGAUUUAGCUCUCCAUCACUCUUCUUCUUGGUCAAAUAGCCCUUACACAACCUGGAGGAAUGUCGGGUCAUUGCCCUGUUGGAAAACAAAUGAUAGUCACACUAAGCGCAAACCAGAUGGGAUGGUGUAUCGCUGCAGAAUGCUGUGGGUGCCAUGCUGGUUAAAUGUGCCUUGAAUUCUAAAUAAAUCACAGACAAUGUCACCAGCAAAGCACCCUCACACCAUCACACCUCUUCCAAGUCUCUUCUUAUUAUUGGUAUCCUUUAGUUGUUGUUUCUUUUCAGCAAUUCGACCAUGAAGGCCUGAUUCAUGCAGUCUUCUCGCUCUCGCUCUCUUCUCUCCCCUCUCACUACUGUCGGGGCGGCAGGGUAGCCUAGUGGUUAGAGCGUUGGACUAGUAACCGGAAGGUUGUGAGUUCAAACCCCCGAGCUGACAAGGUACAAAUCUGUCGUUCUGCCCCUGAACAGGCAGUUAACCCACUGUUCCCAGGCCGUCAUUGAAAAUAAGAAUUUGUUCUUGCCUGGUUAAAAAAAAAAAAAGUCGAGAACUGUUCUAUAAUUUAACAUGUUUCUUGUUUGUCUAUCUUUUCUGUGUCUUUGUCUACAUGUUUAUAUAUGUUUACAACAAGCAAGGGGAAGAUAUCAGAAUAGUGACAUUGGGGAAUAAUAACAUAUUGUAUGGGAAACAUUUGUACUGUAGUGAAGCCAUCUCUAUAGUAAUGCCUCUCUUGAUUAACUAUUAACUAACUUAUUUUCAACUGCAAUACAGUACUUGUUUCUUCAACACACAUCAACACACAUCUUUCAUGAUCAUGUGAAACGUCAGUUGCUAUGGAAAUGCUGGGAUGUGUUUUUCAAUGAUGUUAAAGGUAAUUACGAUGCAACUAUGAUGGUGAUACGUAUCCUCAACACUUCACACAGGAGCAACAGAUCAAUAGACACUCCACCCAGACCAGCAAGACACCCUUCAAGACCUGCAGGACCCCCCACCCUGAACCUACACAUAGAGGACCCACGCCAAGAGGCUUUACAUACAGACCACAGCACCCCCAGACACAUCCACACCCCCACCCCAACCAAUCAACACUCCCCCACGUCAACCAUGCCAACACCCCAUUUAGGCCCCCUCAGAUCAGACCUAUGCUACUCCUCCCACCCCAUGCACCCCACCCCCGCAAAGAGGGCCUCAACAUGGAAGUCACACAUACGCCCAGGUAAUGAGCGGGCAAACAGGCCCAAACCCACUCUUACACUCGCCCAAGCCAAUGGCAGGUACCAGAUGCUCAGCAGGCUCUGCUCACACUUACUGGCCUGAGGCUAAACCACGACCAACAACAUUGGACACUGUUACGGAUACAGGUAUCCUGUGUCUGUGUGUGUGUAUGUAUCCUGUGUCUUCUCUCCUUCUCCCCUCACAGGUGAAAAUCAUCACUCCCCAAUCAGUCAACAAUCAAUCAUCAAUCAGAAGACACACCUCCUCCUGUUUCCUACCCAAUCACAGUUCCUUUCCCUUGGUUUAAAAACCCCAUCAGUUGUUUGCUCUAGAGCUCAAUCUCUCUGUAAAUGCCAUGUUUGUAGGUCUCUGUGUUUCACGCUCUUGUUGUGUAUUAACCUCUCUUUUGUUUGAGCACCUCCAUAGCACUUUGUCAUCACCUGUGAGUAUUGUUUUGGUUAUGGUGUUUCUUUGUUUGCUGGUGGGAAAAGGGGAAACCAAGACAAGUCGCCCAUGGGCAUACACUACCCGUAGGUAGACUUUGUUAAAUACAGUAGUUAGAACUGGGCGGACCACCCACUGUAUUUUUGGUUAGUUAGCUGUUGUUAAAGUAGGCUAGUCUAGCUUAGGGGUGUUUUUGUAUACUUAUUGUUUCUUUCCUUGGGUCCAGCUCAGCCCCUUUUCCUGCUCCCCCCAUUACCGUGUGUU